rnacentral:rRNA from 1 species
AUGGCUCCAGCUUCCGCCUCGCUCCUCGCCGGCGCCAAGCGCUCCGCGGACGCUACUGAGCUUCCACAAGCGCAGGAGGGCGCGCUGACCAAGAAGAACGGCCAGAGCCAGCAGCAGAAGCUGGAGUGCCCGCGGUGCAGCUCCAGCGACACCAAAUUCUGCUACUACAACAACUACAGCACGGCGCAGCCGCGCCACUACUGCCGCACCUGCCGCCGCUACUGGACGCACGGCGGCACGCUGCGCAACGUGCCCGUCGGCGGGGCAUGCCGCCGCGGCGGCAGCAGCAAGCGCCGCAGGCCCUCCGCUGAGCCCCAGACGACCUCCUCCGACUCGCCGCAGCCGGACCUCCAGGAGACGCGCCUUCUCUCCGACCACCCGCUCCCAGUCUUCCCGUUCCUCACCGACGGCGGCCCCGUCUUCCUGCCGCAGUUCGAUCUCGGGCUCGGCGGGUUCCCCUGGACACCGGCGACCAUGGACCACCUCUACGACGGGCUCGCGGCGCCGUGGGGUGGCUGCGACCGGGCGCUCGCCCCCACCGGCGCAUGGGACGACUUCGGCGGCCUCGAGCUCGCCUGGCCACCACCGCCACCGGCCGGGAACUGA